rnacentral:misc_RNA from 1 species
UCUCCGUUGGUGAACCAGCGGAGGGAUCAUUACCGAGUUUACAACUCCCAAACCCAAUGUGAACGUUACCGAACUGUUGCCUCGGCGGGGUCACGCCCCGGGUGCGUCGCAGCCCCGGAACCAGGCGCCCGCCGGAGGAACCAACCAAACUCUUUCUGUAGUCCCCUCGCGGACGUUAUUUCUUACAGCUCUGAGCAAAAAUUCAAAAUGAAUCAAAACUUUCAACAACGGAUCUCUUGGUUCUG